rnacentral:rRNA from 1 species
AGCCAGACUCCUACGGGAGGCAGCAGUCGGGAAUAUUGCGCAAUGGAGGAAACUCUGACGCAGUGACGCCGCGUAUAGGAAGAAGGUUUUCGGAUUGUAAACUAUUGUCGUUAGGGAAGAUAAAAGACUGUACCUAAGGAGGAAGCCCCGGCUAACUACGUGCCAGCAGCCGCGGUAAUACGUAGGGGGCAAGCGUUAUCCGGAUUUACUGGGUGUAAAGGGAGCGUAGACGGAAAGGCAAGUCAGAAGUGAAAGCCCAAGGCUCAACCAUGGGACUGCUUUUGAAACUGUCAAACUAGAGUACGGGAGAGGUAAGAGGAAUUCCUAGUGUAGCGGUGAAAUGCGUAGAUAUUAGGAGGAACACCAGUGGCGAAGGCGGCUUACUGGACCGAAACUGACGUUGAGGCUCGAAAGCGUGGGGAGCAAACAGGAUUAGAUACCCCUGUAU